rnacentral:lncRNA from 1 species
AUGCACCAGUUUGUAAACUGCUUCAGAAAAAUCACUGAGCUGGUGACAAACAGCUGCAGACGGAGACGAGAUAGCAGAGCAACUAGCAACAUGUCUGUCCAGUCAUCACUUACAGGAAACAUCCGGGGAGAGAGAAGUUUAAUAACGAAGAACCGCAGCUGGAAUCCAACAAGGGAUGCAGCAGUCACGUGGCAACCACUAGGCAACAGGUACACCCCUGUAGCAGCACUUGUUUGGCUUUGUCCAUUUGCUGACUGCUGCUCUUCUGUGUGGCUCCUUAAAUCAAAUAGUGAUAAAUAAGUGGUUGUAAGCUGACUCAUUGCCACUUCAGGUAGUGUUUGCUGUGGGCCUUAGGGUUUCAGAGGCGGUGCUGGAGUAGGAAGGAGAGCACUUGAGUUCGCCGGUCAGUCAGGAGAGCUGUGUGGGCGACGACAAUGGUCAACAAGGAAAUCAAAAGGAGUAAAUAUUGCAGAUAAUCACAGAAUGGAGACAUAAAGGGCCCGGGGAUGGCAGUCGCAAACGUGGGGUCAGAGGUCACCGUGGAGACGCAAGGGGAGGCGGGCGGGGCUUAUUGUGCCCGGCCUGGCUGAGUGAAGGACGGGCUGAAUAGGGAUUAACCCCACCCUGGUGCCUCUCAAUGCCCCCACCCCAGGGCCUGGGGAAGGUUCCCAUGUGACACCAUCUCCACCUUUAUGUGGGCCUCAUAGCAGCCUCGUCACAACUCCUUUACUCCUCGUAUGCACACGUUCACAUAUGCAUCUUACAGCACCGUGGAGCGAGAGGAAAGAAUUCUAGUGGUGGGAAUGAGGAGUUUUUCCAAUUUUGGAUGAGCACCAAAAUGUGCAUAAUGAGACUGGAGCAUGCUCAAGUCUCUCAGACACACACACACACACACACACACACACAAUGACGUGGGGUGUAGUGGAAGGGGAUAGUUUUCUUUACUCAUUGAAAUCUGCCCCCACUUCACCUCAGUGAAGGAGACUGAAGUCACACACUAAAGCGUGUGCGUUCUCUCACACGCUGGCUCGUACUGUUGCCUUUGAUAGUGUCCAAAGUGACAGACGUGUUGUCUGAUGGUCGUCUAGUCCCCAGAGACAGAGAAAGCGUUCAUAAUUCUCUAUUCAUUUCAUCUUUUUAGCAUUUGAACAAUUAUUUUCCUUGACUUAGAUUGUGAUUUUAAAUGUUUAGAUAUAUCUUGUUUUUUCUGCAGUCGGUAGAAAUGAAUUUUUUGUUUAAUGCUUUCAUGAUAUACCACUAAUCCAAGUAAUAUAUCCUCAUAUAAUCAGUAUUUAUUUAUUUAUUUAUUAUUUCUAAAAGUUCAGACAAGUCAUGUCAUUUCUCGUCAUUUCCCUUAAAUGUUGCAGUGUCAUUACAUCGCCACUAGAAGGCAAUAUCAUUGUGCUGCAGCAGCUCAGUUUGGGCCUUGAGAAGUACACAAUGGACCAUUUCCCAAGAUCCUUUAAUUCAUUACUCAAACAAAAAUGGAACAAUAGCAACACAUGAUAGCACAGGUAUCAA